UGGGGAAUAUUGCACAAUGGGCGCAAGCCUGAUGCAGCCAUGCCGCGUGUGUGAAGAAGGCCUUCGGGUUGUAAAGCACUUUCAGCGAGGAGGAAGGUGGUGAGCUUAAUACGCUCAUCAAUUGACGUUACUCGCAGAAGAAGCACCGGCUAACUCCGUGCCAGCAGCCGCGGUAAUACGGAGGGUGCAAGCGUUAAUCGGAAUUACUGGGCGUAAAGCGCACGCAGGCGGUUUGUUAAGUCAGAUGUGAAAUCCCCGGGCUCAACCUGGGAACUGCAUUUGAAACUGGCAAGCUAGAGUCUCGUAGAGGGGGGUAGAAUUCCAGGUGUAGCGGUGAAAUGCGUAGAGAUCUGGAGGAAUACCGGUGGCGAAGGCGGCCCCCCUGGACGAAGACUGACGCUCAGGUGCGAAAGCGUGGGGCAGCAAACAGGAUUAGAUACCCUGGUAGUCCACGCUGUAAAACGAUGUCGAUUUGGAGGUUGUGCCCCUUGAGGCGUGGCUUCCGGAGCUAACGCGUUAAAUCGACCGCCUGGGGAG
rnacentral:rRNA from 1 species